rnacentral:rRNA from 1 species
GAUGAACGCUGGCGGCAGGCUUAACACAUGCAAGUCGAGGGGCAGCACGGGUAGCAAUACCUGGUGGCGACCGGCGCAAGGGUGCGUAACGCGUGAGCAACAUGCCCUAUACAGGGGGAUAAUCCAGGGAAACUUGGUCUAAUAUCCCAUAGUAUUUAGAGGAGGCAUCUUCUAUAAAUUAAAGCUUCGGUGGUAUAGGAUUGGCUCGCGUGACAUUAGCUAGAUGGUGAGGUAACGGCUCACCAUGGCAAUGAUGUCUAGGGGUUCUGAGAGGAAGGCCCCCCACACUGGGACUGAGACACGGCCCAGACUCCUACGGGAGGCAGCAGUGAGGAAUAUUGGACAAUGGAUGGAAAUCUGAUCCAGCCACUGCCGCGUGCAGGAAGACAGCCCUAUGGGUUGUAAACUGCUUUUAUAUGGGAGCAAUAAGGUCUACGUGUAGACUGAUGAGAGUACCAUAUGAAUAAGCAUC